rfam:Phaeospirillum molischianum DSM 120, WGS project CAHP01000000 data, contig: DSM120_global_c18-2373
GGGCCUGUAGCUCAAUGGUUAGAGCCGGCCGCUCAUAACGGUCUGGUUGGGGGUUCAAGUCCCUCCGGGCCCA